rnacentral:rRNA from 1 species
AACGAACGCUGGCGGCAUGCCUAACACAUGCAAGUCGAACGAGACCUUCGGGUCUAGUGGCGCACGGGUGCGUAACGCGUGGGAAUCUGCCCUUGGGUUCGGAAUAACAGUUGGAAACGACUGCUAAUACCGGAUGAUGACGUAAGUCCAAAGAUUUAUCGCCCAAGGAUGAGCCCGCGUAGGAUUAGCUAGUUGGUGAGGUAAAGGCUCACCAAGGCGACGAUCCUUAGCUGGUCUGAGAGGAUGAUCAGCCACACUGGGACUGAGACACGGCCCAGACUCCUACGGGAGGCAGCAGUGGGGAAUAUUGGACAAUGGGCGAAAGCCUGAUCCAGCAAUGCCGCGUGAGUGAUGAAGGCCUUAGGGUUGUAAGCUCUUUACCCGGGAUGAUAAUGACAGUACCGGGAGAAUAAGCUCCGGCUAACUCCGUGCCAGCAGCCGCGGU